rnacentral:rRNA from 1 species
UUAGUAACGGCGAGUGAAGCGGCAACAGCUCAAAUUUGAAAUCUGGCCCUUGGGUCCGAAUUGUAAUUUGUAGAGGAUGAUUUUGGUGCGGUAUCUUCCGAGUUCCUUGGAACAGGACGCCUUAGAGGGUGAGAGCCCCGUACGGUUGAAUGCCUAGCCUCUGUAAAUCUCCUUCGACGAGUCGAGUAGUUUGGGAAUGCUGCUCUAAAUGGGAGGUAAAUUUCUUCUAAAGCUAAAUAUUGGCCAGAGACCGAUAGCGCACAAGUAGAGUGAUCGAAAGAUGAAAAGCACUUUGAAAAGAGGGUUAAAUAGCACGUGAAAUUGUUGAAAGGGAAGGAUUUGUGACCAGACUUUUUCUGGGCGGAUCAUCCGGGGUUCUCUCCGGUGCACUUCGCCCAGUAAAGGCCAGCAUCGGUUUUCGGCGUGGGAUAAAAGCAGUAGGAAUGUGGCUCUCUACGGGGAGUGUUAUAGCCUAUUGUAUAAUACCGCGCUGGGGACCGAGGUUCGCGCUUCUGCAAGGAUGCUGGCGUAAUGGUUAUCAAUCACCCGUCUUGAAACACGGACCAAGGAGUCGAACAUUUGUGCGAGUGUUUGGGUGUUAAACCCUCACGCGUAAUGAAAGUGAACGGAGGUGAGAGCCCUUACGGGUGCAUCAUCGACCGAUCCUGAAGUUUUCGGAUGGAUUUGAGUAAGAGCAUAACUGUUCGGACCCGAAAGAUGGUGAACUAUGCGUGGAUAGGGUGAAGCCAGAGGAAACUCUGGUGGAGGCUCGCAGCGGUUCUGACGUGCAAAUCGAUCGUCAAAUCUGCGCAUGGGGGCGAAA